rnacentral:lncRNA from 1 species
UCUAAAGAAAAAUAAUUUGAAAUAGAAGCUCUUUUACCACUGAAGAACUUUCAGGAAAAAUGUAAGAAGAGCUUGACAGAAAAAAGAUGCUGACUCCAAUAGACUUGAUUAGAAGUCCUGUAAUUGGAAAUACAUUCUGUUAUUCAAAUCUUUUGGAGAACUGCCUAGCAGAAAAGGUGUCCUGUUCUUGGGAAGAAUGGAGAGAAGAUAACUCCAAAAGAGUCCAGAAGUUAGGUGAAGAGACUUUCCACCUCACUGUCAAGGAGAGACUUGUUUUCCUUCACCUUCCUAUUGGGGACAUUGAAGAGACACAGGAGGCCUCAGAGAGACACGUUUCUUACACUUCCUAGCAGUCGUGGUAGAACUAGUAAUCUCUCAUUCUAUUUGGUUAUUGUAUGUAACAAAACAAUUAUUUGCAAGGGCAUUGGAAGUUAUUCAAAACUGGUAAGAAAACAGCUCAAACUGAUCACUGAACUAGUGCAGACAGUUUAAAAAAUUGUCAUUGUAAUAACAACUAUAAUAAUUUUAAAAUUAAUUGAGAUUCAGG